rnacentral:rRNA from 1 species
ACGAACGCUUGCGGGCGUGCCUAAGAAAUGCAAGUCGAACGGGCAUUGACUUCGGUCAGUUGUCAGUGGGCGAACGGUCGCGUAAACACGUAAGCAAACCUGCCCGGAAGUGGGGGGAUAACGGCCCGAAAGGGGGCGCUAAUACCGCAUGUGGUCAGGUCCAGGCCAUCUGGGCUUGUCUAAAGAUUUAUCGCUUCCGGAUGGGCUUGCGGCCUAUCAGGUAGUCGGUGGGGGUAACGGCCUACCGAGCCGACGACGGGUAGCUGGUCUGAGAGGACGAUCAGCCGGAUUGGGACUGAGAGAUACGGCCCCAGACUCCUACGGGGGGGCAGCAAUUAGGAAUCUUGCGCAAAUGGGGGCAACCCGGACGCAGCGACGCCGCGUGCGGGACGAAGGCAAUUCGUGUCGUAAACCCGCUUUUUCUCGGGGAAGAAGGAUGUGACGGUACCCGAGGAAUAAGCCCCGGCUAACUACGUGCCAGGCAGCCGCGGUAAUACGUAGGGGGCGAGCGUUGUCCGAAGUUACUGGGCGUAAAGCGGCGCGUAGGCGGUUCUCUAAGUCUGAGGUGAAAGGUUUCGGCGCUCAACGUGAACAGUGGCCUUGGAGACUGGGGGGACUUGAGUGUGGGAGGGGGGCAGUGGAAUUCCCGGUGUAGCGGUGAAUAAUGCGUAGAUAUCGGGAGGAACACCGAUGGCGAAGGGCAGCUGCCCUGGCCUGACACUGACGCUGAGGUGGCGAAAAGCGUGGGGGAGCGAACGGGAUUAGAUACCCCGGUAGUCCACGCCCGUAAACGAUGAGUGCUAGGUGUCCGGGGGUAUCGACCCCCCGGGUUGCCGCCGCCCAACGCAGUAAGCACCCCGCCUGGGGGAGUACGGCCGCAAGGUUGAAACUCAAAAGGAAUUGACGGGGGGCCCCGCACAAGCGGUGGAGCAUGUGGAUUAAUUCGUCACUAACCGAAGAACCUUACCCAGGCCUUGACAUCGAGGGUAAGCCCCCUGAAAGGGGGCCCCUCCCCGCAAGGGACCCGAAGACAGGUGUUGCAUGGCUGUUCGUCAGCCUCGUGUCGUGAGAUGUUUGGGUUAGGUCCCCGCAACGAGCGCAAACCCUCACCGUAUGUUUGCCAGCGUAAAGUCGGGGAACUCUUACGGAACUGCCCGUGCAAGCGGGAGGAAGGUGGGGGACGACGUCAAGUCGGCAUGGCCCUUACGCCUGGGGCUUCACACAUGCUACAAAUGGGCGGCACAGAGGGGCGCCAACCCCGCGAGGGGGAGCGAAUCCCACAAAGCCGUCCUCAGUUCGGAUUGCAGGCUGCAACUCGCCUGCAUGAAGCCGGAAUCGCUAGUAACCGCAGGUCCAGCGAAAAACUGCGGUGAAUACGUUUCCCGGGCCUUGUACACACCGCCCGUUCAAGUCGCCCUGAAUUGUCUGCACCCGAAAGCCGGUGGCUUAAACCCGCGAGGGGAAGAGCCGUCUAAGGUGUGGGGAGUAAGGGGGACU